AACGCUGGCGGCGUGCCUAACACAUGCAAGUCGACGGAGUGCUUUAAAUGAUUCCUUCGGGAUGAAUUUAUGGUUACUUAGUGGCGGACGGGUGAGUAACGCGUGAGGAACCUGCCUUCAGAGGGGACAACAGUUGGAAACGACUGCUAAUACCGCAUAAUGCAUAGAGAUCGCAUGGUCUAUAUGCCAAAGAUUUAUCGCUGAAAGAUGGCCUCGCGUCUGAUUAGCUAGUUGGUGAGGUAAACGGCCCACCAAGGCGACGAUCAGUAGCCGGACUGAGAGGUUGACCGGCCACAUUGGGACUGAGAUACGGCCCAGACUCCUACGGGAGGCAGCAGUGGGGAAUAUUGGGCAAUGGGCGCAAGCCUGACCCAGCAACGCCGCGUGAAGGAAGAAGGCUUUCGGGUUGUAAACUUCUUUUGUCAGGGAAGAGUAGAAGACUGUACCUGGCGAAUAAGCCACGGCUAACUACGUG
rnacentral:rRNA from 1 species